UCUCCUCUCCUCUCCUCUCCUCUCCUCUCCAGGUGACCCGUCAGGCAGGACUUUGGCUGCAGCCCCGAGCCCUGGAGCUGCCACAGAAGGGCAGUGACCCUGCCUGUCCCCACUCUGGCUGCUCCUCACGUGGCCCAGAGCCGUGGCUGAAUGAUCCCUGUGCCCUGUGCAGCCCCCAGUGACACCCCACAACCCCUGUUCAGCCUUCUGCUCUACACUGGAGGAUGCAUUUUAAGCUGCUGGUGCCUGGGCUCACAGCCCCAACUCCCUUCAGAUCACACACCUGGAGAGUUCUGCCCUGCAACCGGAACCAGAAGCAGGAAAGUGUUUUUGGGAUCAUUCUGGCAUAAUUUUUAAGUAUCACCAAGCUGGCAAUUCUCUUUAAGUUACACAGCAAAAUGCCUUCCACCAGACUGAUCUCACAAUCUUCUAUUUCCGCUUCAAGGAUAAUAAACAUAUACUGAUCUCUUCAGAAUAUCCAUUUUUAAUAAAUUAUUUACUUUUUAAUUUAACAAAUAACAUUUAUUAACACUGCUAAUGAUGAGUGACACAGCUGAAACGGAAAUAAACUCUGAAAUCUGGGAAUGAGAUUGCAGUCAAAAUGGAAAGAUAUCCUAGCAGACUGCCAGAGGCAGCCAGGCAAGGCUGCCCCAGUGACAUCCCGUGGCUGUGCUGGGGACAGGCAAUGCUCCAGCUGUGCCAAGCGUGGGAGGGGAUGCACAGCCUCAGGAGCAGUUAACUAUGCAGGGAAAAAGGCCACUUUAAUUACUGCUGGGGCCAAGGUUAUCCUCUGUCACUGCUGUACCUGUAAGGCAACAAAGGCAAGGGCAUCAUCAUGUUUCCUAAUUACUCCUCUGGGUCAUGGAAGAGACUGAGAACACUGGCAAAGAAAGGGUAAAGGAAGGGUGCCUCUCCUGACCUACCCUGGCACAAAUCACGGCUGAAGCCAAGGGGAUCACUUGCAAGACUGAAAAAUGGAGCAGAGUUUGGCUAAAAAGUACAAACAGUAAGCAGAGGUGCUUUCUUGGUCCCUCUGGUGGCUCUCAGUGGCAUCAGUGGGGUUUCAGAGAAGAAGCCCUGAGCUGUGGCUCUGCACAAGUGCCCCGUGCCCUGGGCACCCUGCAGUGUCCAUCCCUCCAUGCACAGGUGUAUCUGCCUGCUACACAUGAGCUGGGUGUUAUGAGCACUCUGAAACACCCCUGUAACACUUUUCAGUGAAAAGCUCCAAAUUUCAGUCUGAAUGAUCAUCAUUAACAUUAUGACCAGUGCAUACAGUUUUUGAAAGGGAAUUAAAGCAAAUGAACAUGAGGGAGAAAGUAGAAUGCUUGCUGGGGUGGCAUAACUCCCAAACAGAUAUUAAACUUUAUGACCCUCUUAUGAGUAAUAAAACCAAUUUUUGCUAUGAUCCUAACAUUCAGCUUAACUUCAGAAGCUUUGACUGACUGGUGAGAACACAAGAACAAUGAAUGUUCACCUUCAAUGUUGCCUGUCUGUUCAACACAAGGCAGAAUUUUAAUUUGAGGAUGUUCCAACUUAACUGACCAUAACUUCAUAACCAGAUUAUUUCUGCAGCACAAUAAAGCUAUAUCUAUAAAUAUUCUAGGUUUAUUGGUUUUAAUUAUUUUUUUCUCUUUUCUCCCUUGUAUUAUUCCCCUCAGUCUCUUUCUUCUGCCCAAUCUAUAAUGCCUAUUUAAGAACAACACUCCACACAGCGCAAGCACUCCUGUGGAGGUGAGCAGGGGUGUGUGACCUUCCCCUCCCCAAUGCUUUGGGGGAGAGCAGUGGUUCUGCACAGGCCCAGCAGCCCCAGGGAGGAAAGUGCUUUAGGAAAGCCUCUGGGCACUGAGUCCCAGCCAGGAACAAGGGAGUCUCUGGUGCUGAAGCUGCAGUAAUUGAACAAAUACACAACGGGUUAACACGAUGCAGAGAGAGCUGCAGCCCUUCCUCCCUGGCUCUGGGGUUCGGCUGCCAGCUGCAACCCUGCCCCUUGCAGCUGCACCACGAGUCAGCUCCUGGGAGCAUCCUGCCAACCCGACCCCUGCUCUGGAGGAGCUCACUGCUCAAGGCCAGUCUGGUCACCUGGGGACACACCUGGGGCAGAGCAGCUGCACCCACGCUCCUGAGGAGGCAGGGAGCUGAGGCACAGGACGGUCCCAGCACAGGCAGGAUGUCCCUCAGCUGCCCCAGGAGCACUGCAGCCAGCCCCCAGUCGCUGCAGGACAUGGGGCAGGUGAAGGCCUGAGGACCUGGAGCUCUGCACAGUCACAGCAGGAGGGGCACCCACGUCUGCCGAGGUGUCCCCAGCUGGCAGCAGGACCCAGGGACCAAACCCAGGCAUGCAGAGCCUCCUGACUCAGCAGACUAACUGCCCUUAUCUCAGGAGCACAAAUGUUCCUGGCUCUUUCUUGCAACACCCCUAAACUCCCCUCUCAGUCUGGGGACAGCUUCCAGCAGCCACGGUUUUGGGGACACCUCAAGAGGGGAGCUGUGCACAGAGGGAGCUUCACUUGAGAGAGGUGAUACGAAUGUCUGAAGAACAUUUAAUCACUUAAGGCGUGCUGGAGUGCAGUGUCCACUCCCAGGCAUGGAUGUUCCCUGGAUGUGCUCUACAUCCCUGGCACACAGCCAGCCAGAACAAUGCCUUACAAUUUAGAAGAGGUAUCUGAGGUUUUCUGGAGUAUCAGUGGGAGAACACUGAGGAGUGAAGUGCCCUGCAGAGAGGAGGGUCCUGCCCAGAUUGCCCACAGGGAACCAACCCUGGGCACACCCACCCUGUGUAGGUCCUGCCCUCCAGCCCUCCUGCACACUCUGCCUGGAGCAACUAGGAACACAAAUGAGCACUUACACCUUGGGUGUCUGAACCUGAAAAAUGUCACUUUAAUUCAGAUCCCACUGAGCUGCCCUGGCCCUGCUCCGUGGCCGUGGAGCUGGGGGGCACCCACGCUCUGUGCUCUCCGUGGCUUCGCAGGGACAGAUGGAGAAACUCUGUGUCCAGGUGCCUGUGCCCAAACAGGAACUGAUCCCGACUCAUUUGAAGCGGGACAAACUGAAAAGGGCAAGGUGCCAAAGGCAUUUUUCGAACUUUUUGGAAAGCACUGGACUACUGGAAAGCUCAAACUGCAGCUAUCUGAAAAAUAUAAAGAGAGAAUUCAUAAUAGCUCAGGCUAAAAACUCCCUUAUUUUCUUGUGUAACAUACACUAAACUUCAGCGGUCAGGAAAGGUCUAAUGAGGCCU